rnacentral:scRNA from 1 species
UCGAGAAGAAGAAGGAAGCGCUCAACCACUUC